CUGACCAAAAAAUCAAGAACUAGAAGCAAGCCUGACAUCCUUUUUCUGUAAUCGGAUUUACUAUAUUUUUGCAGCAGGCUACAUGCUUCUCUGAAUGACCAUUUAAGGAGUGAACAUGAAUUGCUGAUGUGUAUGUUCCAUGCUCCAUGGGGAGGGAACAAGGAUUGAUUUUCGCCAGGAGUAGGGAGAGUAUGACUUGCCUAACAGAAGCACAAACACAAAUGGACACUCUGCAGUUGUAUCAGACACACCACCACAAGACAUGUUGUGUGCGUCACAAUUCUUAGCAGCGACCUUUACGACCGUCCAACGCCAAGAUUGCUAGCGACAAGGAUUUGAGGAGGACAAGACGGUAGCUAUCGACAAGGAUUCAAGAAGGACCAGAUGCCACGGUAGUGGUUGUAAUAUUAGUCGAGACGAAUCUGAAAAAAAUUGAGUUAAGUCGUUGAGAUGUGGAGAUAUGAUGGAUUUUGCAAAAAAAAACGAGUAAAUUUUUGCUACAGAGAACAUAUCGGUGUGCAUGUACUGAUUGCACUUGCUUCAUGGCGCAAUACGUUUAUCCUGCUACGAAAAAUGUAUUGUUUUUUAUUAGAGAAGGGGGU